rnacentral:rRNA from 1 species
GAACGAGGAUAUAUCCUUCGGGAUGUAAGCCGAGUGGCACAAGGGUGAGCAAUGCAUAGAUUACCUACCUUUAGGAUAAGGGCAACUUUGUGAAAACGGAGCUAAUACUUAAUAAUACAAAAGAAAAUAAUUUUCUUUUGUCAAAGGGAGGGUAGCAAUACCUUUCGCCUAGAGAGGGGUUUAUGUCCUAUCAGCUUGUUGGUGGGGUAAUAGCCCACCAAGGCGAAGACGGGUAGCCGGUUUAAGAGGAUGGUCGGCCACACUGGGACUGAGACACUGCCCAGACUUCUACGGAAGGCUGCAGUCGAGAAUCUUUCGCAAUGCCCGAAAGGGUGACGAAGCGACGCCGCGUGGGUGAAGAAGGCCUUCGGGUUGUAAAGCCCUGUCAGGAGUUAUGAAAUGUAAGUGCGCUAAUAUCGUGCUUAUUUGACAAAGGCUCCAAAGGAAGCCACGGCUAACUCUGUGCCAGCAGCCGCGGUAAUACAGAGGUGGCGAGCGUUGUUCGGAAUUAUUGGGCGUAAAGAGCACGUAGGUGGGUUUGCAAGUCAGAUGUGAAAGCCUUCUGUUCAACGGAAGAAUUGCAUCUGAAACUGCUAAUCUUGAGUAUAGGAGGGGAGAAUGGAACUUCUGGUGGAGCGGUGAAAUGCGUAGAUAUCAGAAGGAACGCCGGCGGCGAAAGCGAUUCUCUGGCCUAUUACUGACACUCAGUGUGCGAAAGCUAGGGGAGCAAACGGGAUUAGAUACCCCGGUAGUCCUAGCCGUAAACGAUGGGCACUAAGUAGAGGGAAUUACCUAUAUUCUCUCUGCCGUAGCUAACGCAUUAAGUGCCCCGCCUGGGGAGUACGGCCGCAAGGCUAAAACUCAAAAGAAUUGACGGGGGCUCGCACAAGCGGUGGAGCAUGUGGCUUAAUUCGAUGCAACGCGAAAAACCUUACCGGGGCUUGACAUGAUAGAAGUAGGAACCUGAAAGGGGGACGAACGGUAUCCAGUCCGUAGCUAUCACAGGUGUUGCAUGGCUGUCGUCAGCUCGUGUCGUGAGACGUUGGGUUAAGUCCCCUAACGAGCGAAACCCUUGUUUUUAGUUACCAGCGGGUUAUGCCGGGUACUCUAGAAAGGCUGCCGUCGUCAAGACGGAGGAAGGUGGGGAUGACGUCAAGUCAUCAUGGCCCUUAUGCCCCGGGCUGCACACGUGCUACAAUGGUCGGUACAGACGGAAGCGAAGCCGAGAGGUGAAGCGAAUCCUAAAAAGCCGAUCUCAGUUCGGAUUGGAGGCUGAAAUUCGCCUCCAUGAAGUUGGAAUCGCUAGUAAUCGCGGAUCAGCAAUGUCGCGGUGAAUAUGUUCCCGAGCCUUGUACACACCGCCCGUCAAGCCACCCAAGCAGGAUGCACCCGAAAACAUUAUAUCUAACCAGGGCAACUUGGAGGAAAAUGUUGAAGGAGUGUUUUGUGA